rnacentral:rRNA from 1 species
UACGUAGGGAGCAAGCGUUGUCCGGAAUCAUUGGGCGUAAAGCGCGCGUAGGCGGCCCUGUAAGUCCGUUGUGAAAGUCAAAGGCUCAACCUUUGAAAGCCGAUGGAUACUGCAGGGCUGGAGUCCGGAAGAGGCGAGUGGAAUUCCUGGUGUAGCGGUGGAAUGCGCAGAUAUCAGGAGGAACACCAAUAGCGAAGGCGGCUCACUGGACCGGUACUGACGCUGAGGCGCGAAAGCGUGGGGAGCAAACAGG